UACGGAGGGUGCAAGCGUUAAUCGGAAUUACUGGGCGUAAAGCGUGCGCAGGCGGUUUGUUAAGUCCGUUGUGAAAGCCCCGAGCUCAACUUGGGAAUUGCAGUGGAUACUGGCAGGCUGGAGUACGGUAGAGGAAGGUGGAAUUCCCGGUGUAGCAGUGAAAUGCGUAGAUAUUCGGAAGAACACCAGUGGCGAAGGCGACAUACUGGGUCAUGACUGGCGCUGAGGCUCGAAAGCGUGGGGAGCAAACAGG
rnacentral:rRNA from 1 species